rnacentral:rRNA from 1 species
GAUGAACGCUGGCGGCGUGCCUAAUACAUGCAAGUCGAGCGAACAGAUGAGGAGCUUGCUCCUCUGACGUUAGCGGCGAAAGGGUGAGUAACACGUGGAUAACCUAACUAUACGACCGGAUUAACUUCGGGAAACCGGAGCUAACACCGGAUAAUAUAUCGAACCGCAUGGUUCUAUAGUGAAAGACGGUUUUGCUGUCACUUAUAGAUGGAUCCGCGCCGCAUUGGCUAGUUGGUAAGGUAACGGCUUACCAAGGCGACAAUGCGUAGCCGACCUGAGAGGGUAAUCGGCCACACUGGAACGGGGACCCGGUCCGAAUUCCACGGGAAGGCGGCGUUGGGGAAUCUUGCGCAUGGAGGGAAGUCUGAACGGGGCAACGCCGGUUGGUGAAUGAAGGUUUUCGGAUGUAAAAACUUUUUUAUUGGAGAGGACCAAGUGUGUAGGUAACUGUGCACGUCUUGACGGUACCUAAUCAGAAAGCCACGGCUAACUACGUG